rnacentral:snRNA from 1 species
GGAUGAUUUAGAUGUGACUUCUGUCACCACACUUAUUGUUAGGAGUGAUCUGGCUUGGUAGGCAGGUAUCACUCCACUGGGUCCCUCUUAAAGCUAUGUGUUCAAAGACGGUGACCUUCCACAAUAAAAGAGCACUGGUCUUCAGUCAAGACUAUACGAGUAGCUGUGCUUUCCUGCUAGAACCUCCAAAUAAGCUCUCAAAUAUACAAGUAAGUGAAAAGUAAAAGGGUGGAAAAAAAUGUCAGCC